UCGAGAACCAUAGAGAACCCAGUACCCAGAACCCAGAACCAUAACCAGUUUCUUGGCCAUAAGCCCCGCGUUUUGCGCGCGUUUCUCAGCUUUUGCUUUUGCCGACUUGGUAUCGAUAUUGUGAGCCGAACUCAGUUGCAAACGGAGUGUCAGACGAGGCGGUUCACUGAAAGCCACUUAGCAUUCAUUGUUAGAUCAAGCGCGAACCUACAAACAGCAUUUUAUAUCCCCCCUUUUUUUUUUGUUUUUUUGUUGUUUGAGUUCACGAGUUUUUCACGCAGAAGAAAUGACAAUCUAUGGACUAUUGGUGCAGAUCAUAAUCGUUUGUAACUAGAGUCUUCUGAUAAAGAGCCCCAUAAACCAAGGAGGAGCAACAAUGGCACCGCCCCAAGAGCAACCAGAGGAUGAUAUUAUCACCAAGAUACCCUCGAUAAUUGGAUUCCUGAACUUGGACUGACUGGCGACAAAUGAAGCUUUGGCCCCCCGAAUUCGAUGAUGAGCUGACCCAGAGAGCCAAGGCUGAAUCAUGAGAAUAAUAUUAUAAAGGUUAAGAAAUGGAUCACACGCACCAAUAAAUGAACAAUUUUAAUGACUA